rnacentral:rRNA from 1 species
AUUGAACGCUGGCGGCAUGCCUUACACAUGCAAGUCGAACGGUAACAGGUUAAGCUGACGAGUGGCGAACGGGUGAGUAAUGUAUCGGAACGUGCCCAGUCGUGGGGGAUAACUACUCGAAAGAGUGGCUAAUACCGCAUACGACCAGAGGGUGAAAGCGGGGGACCGAAAGGCCUCGCGCGAUUGGAGCGGCCGAUCUCAGAUUAGGUAGUUGGUGGGGUAAAAGCCAACCAAGGCGACGAUUUGUAGCUGGUCUGAGAGGACGACCAGCCACAAGGGGAAUGGGACACGGCCUAGACUCCUACGGGAGGGAGCAGGGGGGAAUUUUGGACAAGGGACGCAAGUCUGGUCCAGCCAUGCCGCGUGCGGGAAGAAGGCCUUCGGGUUGUAAACCGCUUUUGUCAGGGAAGAAACGAGUUUCUCUAAUACAGAGACUUAAUGACGGUACCUGAAGAAUAAGCACCGGCUAACUACGUGCCAGCCGCCGCAGUAAAAC